UACGGGGGGGGUAAGCGUUGUUCGGAAUUACUGGGCGUAAAGGGCUCGUAGGCGGCCAACUAAGUCAGACGUGAAAUCCCUCAGCUUAACUGGGGAACUGCGCCCGAAACUGCAGAGCUUGAGUACCGGAGAGGAUGGUGGAAUUCCCGAAGUAGAGGUGAAAUUCGUAGAUAUCGGGAGGAACACCGGUGGCGAAGGCGGCCCACUGGCUCGAUACUGACGCUGAGGUGCGAAAGCGUGGGGAGCAAACAGG
rnacentral:rRNA from 1 species